rnacentral:rRNA from 1 species
UCUGUUUGAUCCCGCCGGAGGCCACUGCUAUCGGAGUUCGAUUAAGCCAUGCGAGUCGAGAGGUGUAAGACCUCGGCAUACUGCUCAGUAACACGUGGACAACCUACCCUGAGGAGGGGGAUAACCCCGGGAAACUGGGGAUAAUACCCCAUAGGCUAUGGAUGCUGGGAUGCUCUGUAGUUGAAAGGUCCGCCGCCUCAGGAUGGGUCUGCGGCCGAUUAGGUUGUUGUUGGGGUAACGGCCCAACAAGCCUGUAAUCGGUACGGGUUGUGGGAGCAAGAGCCCGGAGAUGGAUUCUGAGACACGAAUCCAGGCCCUACGGGGCGCAGCAGGCGCGAAAACUUUACAAUGCGAGCAAUCGUGAUAAGGGAACUCCGAGUGCCCGUAAAAUCGGGCUGUCCGCCAGUUUAAAUAACUGGUGAAGAAAGGGCCGGGCAAGACCGGUGCCAGCCGCCGCGGUAAUACCGGCGGCUCCAGUGGUGGCCACUAUUACUGGGCUUAAAGCGUUCGUAGCUGGUCUGUUAAGUCUCUGGGGAAAUCUUCCGGCUUAACCGGAAGGCGUCUCAGGGAUACUGGCAGACUAGGGACCGGAAGAGGUGAGAGGUACUCCAGGGGUAGGAGUGAAAUCCUGUAAUCCUUGGGGGACCACCUGUGGCGAAGGCGUCUCACCAGAACGGCUCCGACAGUGAGGAACGAAAGCUGGGGGAGCAAACCGGAUUAGAUACCCGGGUAGUCCCAGCUGUAGACGAUGCGCGUUAGGUGUAUCGGUGACCACGAGUCACCGAGGUGCCGAAGAGAAAUCGUGAAACGUGCCGCCUGGGAAGUACGGUCGCAAGGCUGAAACUUAAAGGAAUUGGCGGGGGAGCACCACAACGGGUGGAGCCUGCGGUUUAAUCGGACUCAACGCCGGGAAACUCACCGGACAAGACAGCAGAAUGAUAGUCGGGCUGAAGACUCUACUUGACUAGCUGAGAGGAGGUGCAUGGCCGUCGUCAGUUCGUACUGUGAAGCAUCCUGUUAAGUCAGGCAACGAGCGAGACCCA